AACGAACGCUGGCGGCAUGCCUAACACAUGCAAGUCGAACGAGACCUUCGGGUCUAGUGGCGCACGGGUGCGUAACGCGUGGGAACCUGCCCUUAGGUUCGGAAUAACUCCCCGAAAGGGGUGCUAAUACCGGAUAAUGUCUUCGGACCAAAGAUUUAUCGCCUUUGGAUGGGCCCGCGUUGGAUUAGCUAGUUGGUAGGGUAAAAGCCUACCAAGGCGACGAUCCAUAGCUGGUCUGAGAGGAUGAUCAGCCACACUGGGACUGAGACACGGCCCAGACUCCUACGGGAAGCAGCAGUGGGGAAUAUUGGACAAUGGGCGAAAGCCUGAUCCAGCAAUGCCGCGUGAGUGAUGAAGGCCUUAGGGUUGUAAAGCUCUUUUACCCGGGAUGAUAAUGACAGUACCGGGAGAAUAAGCUCCGGCUAACCCCGUG
rnacentral:rRNA from 1 species